rnacentral:misc_RNA from 1 species
AACAAGAAGUGAUUGGUCACCCAAUAUUGUGCUCCAAGUGCAAAUAUGUAAAAUAUUUGACUACCUGAAUUCACCAUCACUUGGAAUUUUUCCAACCAAAUUAUCUGGGUUGUUUAUCUGGGUUGGAAACGCAGUUUUUUAAAGGUUUUUUGGUCUUUACCUGAAAAAGAUAAAGGUUGUAAAAGAAAGUCUGAAAAAAUUUUAGCAAAUUUUUCUCUAUAUCGACAUACAGAGAUACAUCGAGACUAAUAGACAUUCUAAAUAUUUCAUAUAUAAUAUAUGUAAUGUAUGUAAUGUAUAUUACAGAAUUUUUGUAUACAAAAUUUUAAAACGAGGAUAAUACUGAUGUAUGUGAGAAAUAAAGGUGUAUAAAAAGUUUCAAGGAAAAAAUAUAACAUUAAAA